GAAAGAUACAUUUUACUAGUCAAUUUUAUGGGGAAGCCUGACUUUCCUUGGUAUCCAUGAAUACACACCACUGCUACCAGUAAGGGUGUUAUUUGAUGUAUCUCACACCAAUCAGAGAAAAAAGGUUCCUUUCUCUGUAACUGUGAGGCAAGAAGCCUACUGAUCACAGUACUGCACCAGUACUGUGUAUGCACCCCACUAUUCAUCUGUAUGUACUAUAUGUGAAUAUCUAGACUGCCUAGUCCAUUUCUCCUGUGUUUCAUUAGCUAUUUACUGUAAGAUAACUGACACUGUCCUCUUCCUUGACUCAACUUAUUGACAUGGCUUUACUGUAACUCGUAUGCAAAUGAGGAUGUGAAUUGAUACAUUUCACACCUACAUCAAUUAGCCUUUAGCUCAUACUGAUGUUGGAUCGUAUCAUUGUGGAAUAUUCUGGUAUAAUGAAUACUAUUUUGGAGAUGGUAUGUAUCUCAUGAUUCAAAGUAUGUAAAGAAACAGAAUGUUUAGUAACAAACUAUGUUUCCGGUUUUAAUUUCUAAAUGUGAAAAUGUUGUGUGGUUCUCUUUAGCCUAUUAAUCAACUCAAGUGAACGGAACCAGGCUGGACAUUGAGGGUUAGACCUUAGAAUCAAGCCGGAUUGCUCAACUACAUAAUGUUUGUUCGAGUUGUAAUCAUUAUUAUCCUGAUUGCAACACACAUUCUCUUGUGGAGGAGAACUCUGCAAAAAAGUCAGCAGGGUGAUUAAGUUUGACUUAGUUAUACUUUAUUCAAAAUAUAUGAUAUAUGAA
ensembl:lncRNA